AAUACUUGUCGCUUUGAGUUUUUGUUUGUAAACUUUGAUCAUUCGUCUUAUUCAAAAAAUUAUAGAAUUAUUAUUUAUUUUGUUUGUGACUUGCUUUAUUAUCAAAAGUACUUUAAGCCUAACUUUUCUUUUUUAUACUUGCAUUAAUUUUUCAAAUAAGACGAAUGGUCAAACUUUGCAAACAAAAAGUUAAAGCGAUAACUAAU
rnacentral:pre_miRNA from 1 species